GCACUGCGGGCGGUUGCGGGUUGAAUUUUCCCCAAAAUGCAUACAUGCGGGCGGGUCCAAACCGAACCGCAAACCGUCCAAAACUGAACCGCGGACACCCCUAAUGUGGAGGCACAUCUCUCGCCGCAGGAGGCAGCGCCAUAUUUUGGCCGUAAAGGACGACACAUGCAAAACAUACUCGCAGUGUGUGAUUUCGACUUAUCUUUUACUUUUAUAUCUUGCGGAUGGGAGGAUAGUAUGCACGACAACAGAGUUUUUAAUGAAGUAAAACAGGACUCAACCAAACAAUUCCUCAUGCCAGAAGAAGGAAAAUAUUACCUUGUUGAUGUGGGGUACAAGAACCAAAAGGCUUUUUGGCGCCGUUUAAGGGAUGCCGCUACCACCAGGGAGAGUUUCGCGCAACUGGACGGCCACAAAAUGCAAAUGAAGUUUUCAACAUGGUGCACUGCUCCUUACGGAGUGCAAUUGAACGUACUUUCGGAGUAUGGAAAGCGUGAUGGGGAUUCUUACAUAACAUGCCGCGACAUGAUUUUGGGAAAGUGUUGGUGCCAUUGGUCGGGGCUUCAAUGGCACUACAUAAUUUUAUACACCGCAACUCCAACGACGAUGAAGCGUUCAAUACGGUUGCGAAUGUAGAGAAUUUUACUUUCAACGACAUGCCAAAUGUUGCGGGUGUUGGUGACGACGAUGAUGGUGAACCAGAGGGCGAUAAUGACGUACAUAUAAACAAAGUGAGGAAAUCAAUACGGAAUGAAUUAAUGCGACAUCGGCAUGAACUUGGGUUGUAAUCUUGUUCGGUUUGUACGAGUUGAUGGUAAACGAAAUGAAUGUGACAAACUGUUGAAAGCGUUAAAAAAAAUGUACGGUUAUGUUUGUAAA